ensembl:snoRNA
UUCCAAAGUGUUGAGUUCAGUUCAGGCAACUUCCCUGUUCUGUUAAUUAAACUUUGGUACAUUGAAAUAGGCCAGGAGAGACUAUUGGAUAGAAAGUGUUAUUCUAUUCAUUUACCUCCCAGCCUACAAAA